AGUUCCACGAGCGCAUCAAUGCGGUCGUGCGGGAACAUUUUCCCCACCUGUGGUUGUGUCUGAAGCAAGUGCCGGAGCACCAACAUUUCUGGUUUGACAUCAUGAAGAUGACCUACUGGUGGGACUGUGACGAUGAGUCCACGUUUUGGGUCUUCCACAUAUCGGCUGGGAAGUACAUCCGGAAGACCUUCUCCGUCGUCUGGUCUAGCCUGGUCAAGCCACUAUGGCUGGCCAACAAGGUCUGGCUCCAGCUCCAGACGUACUGGGCCAGCAAGGACUUCCAGUAGGAGUCCUCCAAGAAUAAGGUGAACCCCACGGCGUCCUCGACUGUGUACCGAGGGAGUCUUCCUCAGUCAACAUGCACAAGAAGAAGUUGAUAAGAGACAGAGCUUUGUAGGCCGCCCAAGUAGAUGGAAUUAUUUGAGCGGUGCUACAAGAAGAAAGAAGACGACGACUGGAGCGGGCCGAUGGUGGUGGAGGUCACGAAAAGAGACGUUCCAGAAGAUGCUGGAGGAUCAUCAACCACAGCCCACAGCCGACGACCUCGAUGCUCCCGUCGAGUCCGAGGCUUCGGUGGCAAUGAUGGAGCAGCAGAUGUGGUUGGCUGCAGUCAGAGGUAAGAACAAGGGUCGAGUAUUCGUCUUUGGUUCUGAGGCCCAUGUGUCUAGCCGCACAUUCACAUCACCAUCACCAUCGCUACCACCAGAUCCAGUCAUGGAGGACUGCAUCGGCCAUCUCGAGAUGAUGAUGGCUGACAUGAUGGACAUGAUGCAGGCCUCCUCGUCCACUAUAGCCCGGCCUCUGACGAAUCCCCAGGCUGAGAAUUAGGACGACGUUGAUGA